AGAAUCAACGCUGGCGGCGUGCCUAACACAUGCAAGUCGAACGGGAAAGUGGAGCAAUCCAUGAGUAUAGUGGCGACCGGGUGAGUAACACGUGACUACCUACCCUUGAGUGGGGGAUAACCUCGGGAAACCGAGGCUAAUACCGCAUAAUAUCGCAAGAUCAAAGGAGUAAUCCGCUUUGGAGGGGGUCGCGGCUGAUUAGCUAGUUGGUAAGGUAAUGGCUUACCAAGGCGAAGAUCGGUAUCCGGCCUGAGAGGGCGCACGGACACACUGGAACUGAAACACGGUCCAGACUCCUACGGGAGGCAGCAGUGGGAAUUUUGCGCAAUGGGGGAAACCCUGACGCAGCAACGCCGCGUGGAGGAUGAAGCCCCUUGGGGCGUAAACUCCUUUCGACCGGGACGAUAAUGACGGUACCGGUGGAAGAAGCACCGGCUAACUCUGUGCCAGCAGCCGC
rnacentral:rRNA from 1 species